AUGCGUUUCAUUCCCUUCAGCAGUUCUCUCUCUGCCUCUGAAGACAGCUGUCAUCUCUCUGGAGAGAGGAGUGGGAACCACGUUAGUCACACCACCGCUCAAUCCUCACACCGCGGAGCACACGAGGUAUUCCUCGUCCUCCACCUUGGAACACCCACCAGCACCUUCAGCAGAGCCUCCUCCCCCCCCGCCUCAUGGGUCAGGGAGCAGGCUUUGGCUCUGGGUCCACCUCCUACGAGCGGAGGUUCUUCCGUAGAACCUCCCUCCCUCCAUCAACACUGCACACGGCCCUGAUGAAGAUAGAUCUGCCACUAUUGUUAGUGAACUAUUCUGCACAGUGUUGGUAAAGAUGUAGAGUGGUGACCAGCAACUACUGUACUGUUAGCAUAAAGGGAAGGGGAGGCUGAGCUUUCAAAGCAUACAGAGCGACAUUGAGCUGCAUGAGAUGAUAACCACCAGCUGGACAAGCCUUGUGAGGAGAUGUUAACCACCAGGGGAGCAGAUGUUGAGAUGUUAACCACCAGGGGAGGAGAUGUUGAGAUGUUAACCACCAGGGGAGGAGAUGCUUCCCUAUGGGGACGUCAUCUUCUCUCUGGUCCUCAGCUUUGCUCCACAGAGGUGCCAGAGCUCCAGUUUAUUAUGGGAUGGCACCUAGAGUGGCCGAGUGGAGUUUAGGAUGAAGAGGCGCGGCAGUGUUGCCAGAUCCUAUCGCAGUGUUAGUUAUUAAAAGGUCAGUGUGAGGGCGAGCAUAGAGGGGCUGUGAGUGCACAGAGGGGGGCUAAGCAGAGGGGGGCUGAGCAGAGGGCGGCCCACCGGCUCAAUAAGGCUUAAAACACCCCUCUGUCUUCCACCAUCCUCAUCCGAGGCGCUCUCUCUCUCUCUCCGCUGGUCGCUCUGGCUUUCUCUCGCUCUUUCUCUCGUCCCCUCCCUCUCUCACUCCAGCUCUGUCAAAACAUCUAAAUUCAAAACGGCUUUAAUGGGAUGAAAGAUAAACAUUGAACCAUUGCCAAAGCAGUUUAGCAAUUAGACAAAGGGACAAUAACAAUUUCG
ensembl:lncRNA